ACUACCACGUUGAUAGGCUGGGUGUGGAAGUGCGGCAACGCAUGAAGCUUACCAGUACUAAUCGUUCGAUUGGCUUGAUCGUUCCCAUU
rnacentral:rRNA from 1 species